CCUACGGGACGCAGCAGUGAGGAAUAUUGGUCAAUGGGCGCGAGCCUGAACCAGCCAAGUAGCGUGAAGGAUGACUGCCCUACGGGUUGUAAACUUCUUUUAUAAAGGAAUAAAGUGAGGCACGUGUGCCUUUUGUAUGUACUUUAUGAAUAAGGAUCGGCUAACUCCGUGCCAGCAGCCGCGGUAAUACGGAGGAUGCGAGCGUUAUCCGGAUUUAUUGGGUUUAAAGGGUGCGUAGGCGGGCUUUUAAGUCAGCGGUAAAAAUUCGGGGCUCAACCCCGCCCGGCCGUUGAAACUGGGGGCCU
rnacentral:rRNA from 1 species